AGACCGUGGUAUAAUGCCUGUGAGCCCUGCAUCGCUUAUCGCCUGCUAUUUCUCUAUCAACAUAUUUCGACAUCUGUGUUCAAAAUCAGUUUUAAAACCUACAGGAGUGAAAAAUGGGGUUUUACCAUGACGUAACACUUGCCUAUCGUUUCAGUAUGUGUACUUCCCUAGCGCCAUUGGCUACGUAAAAAAGUGACUUGAGCCGUUACUGGCGCAGUUGACGCGGCGCGGCAGUUUGACUUAAUAUUCGUAGCCAUAGUAACCGUGAGGUAUGGCCGCUCGAUUACUAGUUUGCUGCGAAUGACAGCUACGCAAGAAGUUAAUCAAGUACGUGGAAUUCCGAGAGCUUGUUUCUGCCUUUCUUAUUCACAAGUGCGAAGGGUAUGCGAUGCUGCCGAUUUCGACGGCGUGUAAGCACGCGUUCGUUAUAAUGCAGAGGUCUACCACGUAAGAGCAAGUGAUACGAGAACAUUUCCAAUCCUAUCUUGACGCGGGUGAGCAAGGAUGAAUCGAUACAUAACUUUGAACCAAUUGGGCGAUGGAACCUUCGGUUCCGUCGUUCUCGGGGAACGCAUCGAUACGGGUGAAAAGGUCGCUAUAAAGAGAAUGAAGAGAAAGUACUAUUCUUGGGAGGAAGCUAUGAAUUUGCGAGAAGUAAAGUCAUUGAAAAAGCUCAGUCACGCAAACGUCGUGAAGCUGAAGGAAGUUAUACGGGAGAACGACGUGCUGUACUUUGUAUUUGAAUACAUGAAGGAAAAUCUCUAUCAGCUGAUGAAAGACAGGGAUAAACUUUUUCCCGAGCCGGUGAUAAGGAACAUGGUGUACCAAGUAUUGCAAGGUCUCGCUUUCAUGCACAAGCAUGGCUUUUUCCAUCGUGACAUGAAGCCGGAAAAUUUACUGUGCAUGGGACCGGAAUUGGUGAAGAUCGCUGAUUUCGGGCUGGCGCGAGAGAUCAGAUCGAGACCGCCAUACACGGAUUACGUGUCGACGAGAUGGUAUCGGGCACCGGAAGUGUUGCUGCAUUCCACGACUUACAACAGCCCGAUCGAUAUUUGGGCGGUCGGCUGUAUAAUGGCCGAGUUGUAUACAUUUAGGCCUCUGUUUCCCGGCAAGAGCGAAAUUGACGAGAUAUUUAAGAUAUGCUCCGUGGUCGGGACUCCCGACAAGGAUGACUGGCCAGAGGGAUACCAAUUGGCCACGGCUAUGAACUUCAAAUUUCCAAAUUUCACGCGCACGUCGUUGGCUGUUUUGAUACCGAACGCUGGUGAAGAAGCGGUCAUAAUCAUGGAAGAUAUGUUACAGUGGAAUCCUCUAAAGAGACCAACGGCACAACAGUCGCUUAGGUAUCCGUACUUUCAAGUCGGUGACCCGCGUAUCAUUAAUAGCAAAAAGAUCGGUGUCGUAUCUCAACGGGAGCUUGCCAUGAACAAAAUAAAUCUUCCAUCAGCUACACCUAAGCAAUACAACAAUUACCCUCACAAGGACGUUGUUAAUAGCGUACUUCAAUCAAGAGCACCUGAAGUGGUGGUUGAACCGCAACAGCAAUCGGCUACCUUACCAUUGUUGAACUAUAAUAAUCGCAAGAACGACAACAGUGUUUCCAAACAGUGGGACGAUGACGAAUUCGCUGAACUUUUGGGAAGUAAAAUCGUCCCGGAGAACACGAGCGCGAUGCUCUUGCCCGAUCGGGUGUACAAGGAAAAUCGUGCCAAUUGGAAUGCCAACUAUCAGCAGGCCGACGGCAUGAAGCACGGCAAUGCGAACUGGUCGCUGCCAGCGUGGCAGGAAGCACCGUCGAGAGUGUGGAACCAGUCGAAUCAGUCCAACCAGAUGAAGAGCUCGCGCAAGGUCUCGGCGAAGCAGCACUACCUCAGUGUGGCUCGGUACGUCGCAGGCCAGAGCACAAAUUUGCCAUCCAGGUAUAGAAAGUUCCGAGAUUUACUCGAGAGAGUCCUGAUCGCGUGCACGAUGUUGAUACUCUGCCAUGUCCUGGCGCGAUCGCACAUCGGACAGGAUAUCUUUCUCGGCGACUCGAUCAGUUCCCUUGAACUUGUGCCACUUGCAAAGAAUCAUUCUCACACGGCGCAGUCCUACGUGAUUGUCCGCAAAUCGAUUUCCACACUGAUCGAUGUUGUGCAACAUUUAACCGCUGCACUGGCGAGAAUUUUAUUUCCGUUGGAUAUCUUCCCGAACAUUUCCGAACUCGUUGAGUUCGUUCGUCGAUUCACUUUCGACGCAAUGCGUCUUUCAUGUUCGUAUCGAAUCUUGCUGAUUCAUUCUGCCAAAUACCUCUGCCAAAUAAAAUGUUUCGCGACAAUGACGGACUUGUUAAUUUGGAUGGACCAAAUUACGCAAUCCCUCACGCUGCGUAUGACAUGCGCGCUGCAACACGUUUUGACAAUCUUGUUCUGACUAUCGACUUUGUAAUUUUCGGCAAUGAUGCCGCGUUAACUGAAUGGCAGUAAAUGUGUACCGAGUGGAGCAAUUGUUGAAAACUAAAACGUUCGUAUAAUGAAAUGAGGAUACCGAUAUCAACCGAUCGAAAUUGCUAUUGAGCGGAUUCAUCGGUCAGGCAACGUCCAACAAAUAUGACGACUUUACAG
rnacentral:misc_RNA from 1 species